CUCCUACGGGAGGCAGCAGUGGGGAAUUUUGGCGCAAUGGGGGAAACCCUGACGCAGCAACGCCGCGUGGAGGAUGAAGCCCCUUGGGGCGUAAACUCCUUUCGACCAAGACGAUAAUGACGGUACCUGGCAGAAGCAGCUGCGGCUAGCUACGUGCCAGCAGCCGCCGCGUAAUUC
rnacentral:rRNA from 1 species